AGAGUUUGAUCCUGGCUCAGGACGAACGCUGGCGGCGUGCCUAAUACAUGCAAGUCGAACGAACUCUGGUAUUGAUUGGUGCUUGCAUCAUGAUUUACAUUUGAGUGAGUGGCGAACUGGUGAGUAACACGUGGGAAACCUGCCCAGAAGCGGGGGAUAACACCUGGAAACAGAUGCUAAUACCGCAUAACAACUUGGACCGCAUGGUCCGAGUUUGAAAGAUGGCUUCGGCUAUCACUUUUGGAUGGUCCCGCGGCGUAUUAGCUAGAUGGUGAGGUAACGGCUCACCAUGGCAAUGAUACGUAGCCGACCUGAGAGGGUAAUCGGCCACAUUGGGACUGAGACACGGCCCAAACUCCUACGGGAGGCAGCAGUAGGGAAUCUUCCACAAUGGACGAAAGUCUGAUGGAGCAACGCCGCGUGAGUGAAGAAGGGUUUCGGCUCGUAAAACUCUGUUGUUAAAGAAGAACAUAUCUGAGAGUAACUGUUCAGGUAUUGACGGUAUUUUACCAGAAAGCCACGGCUAACUACGUGCCAGCAGCCGCGGUAAUACGUAGGUGGCAAGCGUUGUCCGGAUUUAUUGGGCGUAAAGCGAGCGCAGGCGGUUUUUUAAGUCUGAUGUGAAAGCCUUCGGCUCAACCGAAGAAGUGCAUCGGAAACUGGGAAACUUGAGUGCAGAAGAGGACAGUGGAACUCCAUGUGUAGCGGUGAAAUGCGUAGAUAUAUGGAAGAACACCAGUGGCGAAGGCGGCUGUCUGGUCUGUAACUGACGCUGAGGCUCGAAAGUAUGGGUAGCAAACAGGAUUAGAUACCCUGGUAGUCCAUACCGUAAACGAUGAAUGCUAAGUGUUGGAGGGUUUCCGCCCUUCAGUGCUGCAGCUAACGCAUUAAGCAUUCCGCCUGGGGAGUACGGCCGCAAGGCUGAAACUCAAAGGAAUUGACGGGGGCCCGCACAAGCGGUGGAGCAUGUGGUUUAAUUCGAAGCUACGCGAAGAACCUUACCAGGUCUUGACAUACUAUGCAAAUCUAAGAGAUUAGACGUUCCCUUCGGGGACAUGGAUACAGGUGGUGCAUGGUUGUCGUCAGCUCGUGUCGUGAGAUGUUGGGUUAAGUCCCGCAACGAGCGCAACCCUUAUUAUCAGUUGCCAGCAUUAAGUUGGGCACUCUGGUGAGACUGCCGGUGACAAACCGGAGGAAGGUGGGGAUGACGUCAAAUCAUCAUGCCCCUUAUGACCUGGGCUACACACGUGCUACAAUGGAUGGUACAACGAGUUGCGAACUCGCGAGAGUAAGCUAAUCUCUUAAAGCCAUUCUCAGUUCGGAUUGUAGGCUGCAACUCGCCUACAUGAAGUCGGAAUCGCUAGUAAUCGCGGAUCAGCAUGCCGCGGUGAAUACGUUCCCGGGCCUUGUACACACCGCCCGUCACACCAUGAGAGUUUGUAACACCCAAAGUCGGUGGGGUAACCUUUUAGGAACCAGCCGCCUAAGGUGGGACAGAUGAUUAGGGUG
rnacentral:rRNA from 1 species